GUCUAUGGCAUGCCAUCCUGAACAAGUCCUAUGUCAGAUCUCGGAAGUUAAGCAGGGUCAGGCCUGGUUAGUACUUAGAUGGGAGACCAGCUAGGAAGACCAGGUGCUGUAAGCA
rnacentral:rRNA from 1 species